AUACGGGGGAUGCGAGCGUUAUCCGGAUUUAUUGGGUUUAAAGGGUGCGUAGGCGGUCCGGUAAGUCAGCCGUGAAAAGCCCCCGCUCAACGGGGGUCGUGCGUUUGAUACUGUUGGACUGGAAUGCGGAUGCCGUGGGAGGAAUGUGUGGUGUAGCGGUGAAAUGCAUAGAUAUCACGAAGAACUCCAAUUGCGAAGGCAGCUUACCGGGGUACAACUGACGCUGAGGCACGAAAGUGUGGGUAUC
rnacentral:rRNA from 1 species